GAACAGAAGGGUGCCGGUUCCCUUCCGCGUGCUUGGUAUUUUCCCCGCAGGGCUCUGACCGCUCCCGCUCUCAGGCACCUGUCUUUCCUCUCCGUCCCAGAAUGGAGCCAAGACAAGGGAAUAAAGGAAAUUCAAUAGUACACGGAGAUCGGGUGUCUGGGCAGCGUCUUGGAAAAACUAUCCACACUACAGGACCCCCCCAUAAACCAAAUGCAUAAUCAUAAUGGCUCCUUGCUGUUCCAGAUAGUUGAGAAUGCCAAAUAGGCCUAUUUCUACCUUUGUAAAAUAACUCACCAGCAUCCAGAAGUUUCCUCACACGCAAA